rnacentral:misc_RNA from 1 species
UACGGAGGGUGCAAGCGUUGUCCGGAUUUAUUGGGUUUAAAGGGUGCGUAGGCGGCUUAUUAAGUCAGGGGUGAGAGACUAUUGCUUAACAAUGGCAGUGCCUUUGAUACUGAUAGGCUUGAGUACAGUUGAGGCAGAUGGAACGGGUGGUGUAGCGGUGAAAUGCAUAGAUACCAUCCAGAACACCGAUUGCGAAGGCAGUCUGCUAAACUGUAACUGACGCUGAGGCACGAAAGCGUGGGGAUCGAACAGG